rnacentral:tRNA from 1 species
GCGUGCUUAGCUCAGUUGGUAGAGCGGCGGUCUCCAAAACCGCAGGUCGUCGGUUCAAGCCCGGCAGCACGUGCCA